UCCGCUCAUCAUCCUAUCCUCCCAUCCUCCAACCAUCCCCCCAUCCUACAACCACCCUCCCCACCAAUCCACCCAUCUUCCCCCAACUCCCACAUCACCCAGACCCAUGAUUGUGUGUGAGGAUAUCACUCUCUGCACAGUUCUGUGUAGAUCAACGGGUCUUAAUGAUUUGUGCUCUAGCUGACACCCUGUACAGAGUAUAUGGGCUGAUCCAUCCACAUGAUUUAAAGACGGGUGAAUUUACAGGAACAAUCCGUCAGACUUGACCUUGUGUCUGAUUGCCCAGUCCCAGCACCUCCUAGGGAUGGGGUUACCCUUUCACUAAAGCAGGGGCCCAGCACCUCCUAGGGAUGGGGUUACCCUUCCACUAAAGCAGGGGUGUCAGACUCUAUUGCACAGAGGCCGCAGGUGUCUGGGUUUUUGAGUCAACUGCCAGUGAAGGCUUUCAGAACAAGCUGUGUGUAUCGGUGACUUAAAUCAAACACUUGUGCCGAGAACACCUCGACAACCAGCAGACACUGGAGUUUGACACCAGGACUGGAGUUUGACGUGUGCUUUAAAGGACUCCUUUAGUGCCCUAGGGGGGCUGGGGUUUAGUGCCGGAGGGCAGGGUUUAGUGCCCUGGGGUAGGAGGCAGGGUUUAGUGCCAGGGGGUGGGGUUUAGUGCCCUGGGGGUGGGGUUUAGUGCCAGGGGGUGGGGAUUUAGUUUCCUCAGGGCAGAGUUGCCCUUCCUCUUAAGGGCUCCACCCAGAUGCCCUCAUCUUUAUAUGAACCCAUCAGUCUAAUCAGAGGUGUCUCCUCUGCUCCGCCCCCUAUGGUGCUCUUGCUCUGCCCUCUGAGGGGUUGUUGCUCCGCCCCCUGAGGUAUACUUACUCCGCCCCCUGAGGUGAUCUCUGCUCCGCCCCCUGAGGUGCUCUCGAGGCGCUUUACCUGAAAGCUCAGCAGUGGAACUCUAGCAGCUGUGCCUUCCUGCCCCCAACCGCCUACUGCAACACGCACCAGCUGAGAAUACCGCUUCCGCAAUGUUCUUUGAACUUAGAUUCCAUUAUGUUGUAUGGAAACUUUCUUCCGUCUUGCUGAUCAGUGACAGUGCCACAACUAGCUAUGUAUUUUGCGAAAAGAUGUUUUUUAUUUGUUUGUUAAUAAACACAAUGGGCUGUAAGUAAAAUGUGCUCACAAGCAUGCAGUUAAUUCUGUAAGAGGUGUUAUGGUGAAAAGCCAUAUCAAGCAGGUCUUUACCCUAUAAAACUGCAUAUGGGUCAUGGCAUGUAUUAUAACGCGUAAUUGCGGGUGGAAGUGGGAUUUAACUGCACAUUAUUCAUUAACACAUCUUGUAGGAAAGGUACUGUACUGCAGAUGUGCCAUGCUGGGAUGUUUGUCUGCUUGUGAAUGAAGAGGCGGGCGCAGACGGAUUGUGCUUUAUACGUGUAGGCGCGAUUUAAUCUUGGGAAAUGACAGAAUUUGUGUUUUAAAAUGGUGGUUUGUCACUGAGGAGUGAAAUUAUUCAUGGCUUCACCAAAUGAAUUGUUUUCCUCUCACUUAAUAGAGAAGUUCCCACUGAUGUUACUUCAGCAGGGCCUCCAUUAUCCCAGGUUGGCGAAGGCCCGGAAGGCCUCCAUCUUAAUGCAGUGAGCUGAAGUUGGUUUCCACGUUAUGAUUGGUUAUAUGUUGUGUUAGGGUUUACACAUUUAUAGGAAUUACAGUAAUGUGCCGUACUGUUUAAGGAAUUUGUUCACAAUCUAGUGGGGGAUUAACGGAUCAAAUCCAUGUUGCUCAGAAAAAGAUGUUCUGGUUAACAGCAUUAAUGUACAGUAAUGUCAUUUAUAUAUAUUGGUAUUGAAUUAUACAUAUGAUGUAUGAGCAAAGUUUAAAAUGGUUUAAAACAAUAAAAACUAUCACGAUUAAAGGUGUA